AGCUGAGGAGUGAACACUAGCAUGAAUACUUGUGGUAAACCAAAUACACCCACACAAUCUGUUCAGAGAUAGAUACGUUUGUAAUGUUCUCUUAUUUUACACAUUUGACAUGACUCCGGCUGGAUUCCUAACAUUCUAAAGAUCCCCUAAAACAAGAGCCUGUUUUAAAGCUCACUGUGGAGAGCACAAAGGACAAACCAGCCUGCAAAUGUGUGAAACUGAUCAGAGCCUCCAAUCUCACUGCAUGCAUGCAUUCAUGACCGGACAGACUGGUCACGACUGGACAGAGGAGCCACCAGGCACCGACUGAGCCAACACAGGGGCUACAGAGUUGUUUUUACCUUAACUAUGUGGCCCUUCGGGGCAUAGAUGACCCACCGGCAAAGGCUGUUGUUGCUGUAGGCUUGUGGAUAGGCGGGACUUUUUACAGCCCCCUUGGGCUCUAGCAGCACUACUGUUCCACAUUCAGCCCCUGCACAAACACAAAAGGAGAAACUGGUGGAAUGGAGCCCGGCCGAUGACGUUGCACCACAGUGUCACAUUUCUGUCUGGCAAGGGUCAUACCGAGGGGAGCAGGGGGGUGAUUUGAACCACGCUCUUACCUUCUACGAACUUGCUCCGAAUUGGUGGAUGCCCCCUGGCAGACAUGCAACUAUGGAAAUGGUUCCUUUGAGAUAAGAUUCUCUACCCUCUAUGGAGCCUGAAUGGCUGCAGUGUAAAAACACAAUUAAUUCUACUGGGGUUGCCUACUGCCUUACAAUCUGACUGGGGAGCUAAGCAGACCUUGCAGUCCAGGUGAUGAAACCAACAGAUAAGUCAAGCACAACAUGGGCUGCUAAGAAGAGUACAUUAAGGGUGGAAGGUUUCUGGACCUCUAUGGAUACACAGAUAUGUAAAUGCUCGAAAAUACAACAGUAGGCCUGUGCAAGCAUGCUAAUGAAGUACACAGUGUGCAAACAUGUUAUUUCAAUCAUCCAAGCAAUGUACAGUAUGGUGAAACCCAAUGACUUCAAUAGCACAACUCAUUCUGUAUUGUCACUGUACUGUUACCAAACAGGUUUGAGGAUUCUGAAUUUCUCAAGCAUGUUUAUUCUGUUACCUUCAAAGAAUUUGAACAUUGACAAGAAUUUGAAAAAAUAUUGCACAACAACAAGAGCUUAAGAAAUCAGUCUGACAGAUUCAACUCACCAAAACUGUAGUCCUCAGGAACACCACUGAACUGGAUUGUGAAUCCUGCACCUGUGCUGCUUAUGUCAGAUGCAAAUUGUACUUUGACAUUAUGGGAAGCACCAAUAAGAAUCGGGGAAGGAGGCUGACUACCACAGAACCGUCCUGGUGAGCAAGAUAAAACAUCAAACCUCAAAUAUACCAAGUCAUAAUUUCUAUCAUUCUUUCUACCCCUCACCAAUUUGCCUACUUUCAUCCACAUACACAGUCAGUUGGUCGUUUUGGCAUUGGGUGUCAUUCUCCAGGUCAAUCUCAAUGAACUUCAGUAGAAUUUGCUGACCAGUGGUGACUUGAAUGAACCACAAACACAUUCUGCCCCCAAAAAAAAAUUGUGUAAAGGCUUCCGGUUUUGUGCUUCAUAUCAAAAUAUGUAAGAUACAUCAGAUAUUACUCACUCAUUGUUAUUGUAACUUUGUCCUGGAAGAACUGGAUUUCUGAUGACACCUUCAUUUCCAACAACCACUCCAUCAGGUACGCUGCACAGAGACCUGUCCAAACCUAUAGUACAUUGAGUUUGGUAAUAAAGUUGCCAUUUAUUUUAGAGCCACACAUUUUACAGAAACUUUGUUUGUGUAGUUAUUUACCAUACCAGCACAUAGAGUUUCAUAGCAAAUGACAACAGGUUAUAAACUCUAACUCAACUUAAGCAUUCACCUUUUCUAAGAUUUGACUUGAUCCAUGACAGGAACAUUAAGACAUCAGUGAAUACUCCAGGUGAGCCUCUUCUGGAUCCGGGUUUGAACUUGUUAUUAUUCCAACUUCGACCGCAGCCCUUACCCCAUGAUGUGACCCCCACAGCUACCCACCGUCCAUCUGCUCUGGGGCAGAGAAGAGGACCCCCAGAAUCCCCCUGAAGUAGAGGAAGACAGAUGGAAACUUUAGUCAUGAAGGUAUCAGUAAUGGCCAUGGAUCCAGAUGCACCUCCUGCAGAACCGAAGAAAGCGACCCUCCUAAAGAGAGAACAGACCUUUUCAGCUUUGUCCCUAGAUCUUUCUCUCAAGUUAUUAUUUUGAAUUCACUGUUGCUCAAAUUAGUUCUUACUCUCUGUAAUACGACCCCAUCCACCAACAACACACAUUGUCAUUGGUAAAAACCUCUCACCGGGAUUAGGCAGACAAACAGGUUUAAUAUAAUCACCUGUGAAGAAAACACAUCUGAAAUGUUUAAUUCUAAUAAAAAAAUAAAGUUUUAUAGUUGAUAUAAA